rnacentral:rRNA from 1 species
ACGUACGCUGGCGGCGUGCUUCACACAUGCAAGUCGAACGGAAAGGCCCUGCUUUUGUGGGGUGCUCGAGUGGCGAACGGGUGAGUAACACGUGAGUAACCUGCCCUUGACUUUGGGAUAACUUCAGGAAACUGGGGCUAAUACCGGAUAGGAGCUCCUGCUGCAUGGUGGGGGUUGGAAAGUUUCGGCGGUUGGGGAUGGACUCGCGGCUUAUCAGCUUGUUGGUGGGGUAGUGGCUUACCAAGGCUUUGACGGGUAGCCGGCCUGGGAGGGUGACCGGCCACAUUGGGACUGAGAUACGGCCCAGACUCCUACGGGAGGCAGCAGUGGGGAAUAUUGCACAAUGGGCGGAAGCCUGAUGCAGCAACGCCGCGUGCGGGAUGACGGCCUUCGGGUUGUAAACCGCUUUCGCCUGUGACGAAGCGUGAGUGACGGUAAUGGGUAAAGAAGCACCGGCUAACUACGUG